rnacentral:antisense_RNA from 1 species
ACAGAGAAGGGAAAACAGAGGGGCAGAGAGACAGAGAAGGAAACAAAGAGACUUUAUUAAAACCAAACAUCGUGGAGGCAGCUGCCUGCCCGCAGAGGUCAGAGUCAGGUGGUGUCCUGGACUCCUGGCCCAACCACACAGAAAUGCGAGUCCCACCUCACAGCUCCGGGGCUGUGGCUCCCCAGCGCUCUCCAGGGUCAGGCGCGUUGGCUCACACCUGUAAUCCCAGCACUUUGGGAGGCCAAGGAGGGUGGAUCACCUAUCAGGAGUUCAAGACCAGCCUGGCCAACAGAGUGAAACCCCAUCUCUAUCAAAAAUACAAAAAAAUUAGCCAGGUGUAGUGGCUUGCACCUGUAAUCCCAGCUACCCAGGAGGCUGAGGCAGGAGAAUUGCUUGAACCCGGGAGGUGGAAGUGGCAGUGAGCCAGGAUCGCACCACUGCGCUCCAGCCUGGACAACAGAGCAAGACUCCAUCUCAAAAAAAAAAAAAAGGAAGAAAAUAUAACAGUCCUCUAUGUCCCCUGUACCUAUAUAGAAUAGAUGUGGACAUUUUGCCA